rnacentral:rRNA from 1 species
AUUGAACGCUGGCGGCAUGCCCUACACAUGCAAGUCGAACGGCAGCACGGGAGCAAUCCUGGUGGCGAGUGGCGAACGGGUGAGUAAAGUAUCGGAACGUGCCCAGUCGUGGGGGAUAACGUAGCGAAAGUUACGCUAAUACCGCAUACGAUCUAUGGAUGAAAGCGGGGGAUCGCAAGACCUCGCGCGAUUGGAGCGGCAGAUAUCAGAUUAGGUAGUUGGUGGGGUAAAGGCUCACCAAGCCGACGAUCUGUAGCUGGUCUGAGAGGACGACCAGCCACACUGGGACUGAGACACGGCCCAGACUCCUACGGGAGGCAGCAGGGGGGAAUUUUGGACAAUGGGCGAAAGCCUGAUCCAGCCAUGCCGCGUGCAGGAUGAAGGCCUUCGGGUUGUAAACUGCUUUUGUACGGAACGAAAAGGUUUGGCCUAAUAAGCUGAGCUCAUGACGGUACCGUAAGAAUAAGCACCGGCUAACUACGUGCCAGCCGCCGCCGUAA